rnacentral:rRNA from 1 species
GCUAGCGGCGUGCCUAAUGCAUGCAAGUCGAACGGGAUCCCAUAGAUUCGUCUAAGGGUGAGAGUGGCGAACGGGUGAGUAACACGUUGGUGACCUGCCCCAGAGAGGGGGACAACCAGUGGAAACGCUGGCUAAUACCCCGGAUGUCAAGGUAAUUAGAAAGCCUUGACUAAAGCUCCGGCGCUCUGGGAGGGGCCUGCGGUCCAUCAGCUUGUUGGUAGGGUAAUGGCCUACCAAGGCGAAGACGGAUAGGGGGCGUGAGAGCGUGACCCCCCACACUGGUACUGACACACGGACCAGAUACCUGCGGGUAGCAGCAGCAAGGAAUAUUGCGCAAUGGACGAAAGUCUGACGCAGCAACGCCGCGUGAAGGAAGAAGGCUUUCGGGUUGUAAACUUCUUUUUUGGGGGAAGAGAAAGGACGGUACCCCAAGAAUAAGAUCCGGCUAACUACGUGCCAGCAGCCGCGGUAAAACGUAGGGAUCGAGCGUUAUCCGGAUUUACUGGGCGUAAAGCGCGUGCAGGCGGUUUUCUAAGUCGGACGUGAAAGCUCCCGGCCCAACUGGGAGAGGCCGUUCGAAACUA